UACAGAGGGUGCGAGCGUUAAUCGGAAUUACUGGGCGUAAAGCGCGCGUAGGCGGCUUUGCAAGUCGGGUGUGAAAUCCCCAGGCUUAACCUGGGAACUGCAUUCGAGACUGCAUUGCUAGAGUAUGGGAGAGGGAAGUGGAAUUUCCGGUGUAGCGGUGAAAUGCGUAGAUAUCGGAAGGAACAUCAGUGGCGAAGGCGGCUCACUGGCUCAUAUCUGACGCUCAGGCGCGACAGCGUGGGGAUCAAACAGG
rnacentral:rRNA from 1 species